rnacentral:tRNA from 1 species
UUGGUUAGAGCGUCGGAUUGUGGUUCCGAAGGUCGCGGGUUCGAGCCCCGUCUUCCACC